GACGAACGCUGGCGGCGUGCUUAACACAUGCAAGUCGAACGGUGAAGCGCCUUCCUUUUUGGUGGGUGUGGUUGAGUGGCGAACGGUUGAGUAACACGUGAGUAACCUGCCCCCUUCUUCUGGAUAACCGCAUGAAAGUGUGGCUAAUACGGGAUAUUCUGGGUCUUUCGCAUGAUGGGUCUGGGAAGGAUGUUGUUUCGGUGGGGGAUGGGCUCGCGGCCUAUCAGCUUGUAGGGGGGGUGAUGGCCUACCAAGGCGGUGAAGGGUAGCAGGCCUGAGAGGGUGGACGGUCACACUGGGACUGAGACACGGCCCAGACUCCUACGGGAGGCAGCAGUGGGGAAUAUUGAACAAUGGGCGCAAGCCUGAUGCGGCGACGCCGCGGGAGCGAUGGAGGCCUUCGGGUUGUGAACCUCUUUCGCCAGUGAAGCAGGCCUGCCUCGUAUGUGGGUGGGUUGACGGUAGCUGGAUAAGAAGCGCCGGCUAACUACGUG
rnacentral:rRNA from 1 species